rnacentral:rRNA from 1 species
CUUGUUGGUGAGGUAAUGGCUCACCAAGGCGACGACGGGUAGCCGGCCUGAGAGGGUGACCGGCCACACUGGGACUGAGACACGGCCCAGACUCCUACGGGAGGCAGCAGUGGGGAAUAUUGCGCAAUGGGCGAAAGCCUGACGCAGCGACGCCGCGUGGGGGAUGAAGGCCUUCGGGUUGUAAACCCCUUUCAGCAGGGACGAAGCGCAAGUGACGGUACCUGCAGAAGAAGCGCCGGCUAACUACGUGCCAGCAGCCGCGGUAAUACGUAGGGCGCAAGCGUUGUCCGGAAUUAUUGGGCGUAAAGAGCUCGUAGGCGGUUUGUUACGUCCGCUGUGAAAACCCAGGGCUUAACCCUGGGCUUGCAGUGGAUACGGGCAGACUAGAGGCAGGUAGGGGAGAAUGGAAUUCCCGGUGUAGCGGUGAAAUGCGCAGAUAUCGGGAGGAACACCGGUGGCGAAGGCGGUUCUCUGGGCCUGACCUGACGCUGAGGAGCGAAAGCGUGGGGAGCGAACAGGAUUAGAUACCCUGGUAGUCCACGCUGUAAACGUUGGGCGCUAGGUGUGGGGUCCUUCCACGGAUUCCGUGCCGCAGCUAACGCAUUAAGCGCCCCGCCUGGGGAGUACGGCCGCAAGGCUAAAACUCAAAGGAAUUGACG